rnacentral:rRNA from 1 species
AUUGAACGCUGGCGGCAGGCCUAACACAUGCAAGUCGAGCGAGGGGCGGACGGGUGAGUAAUGUGUGGGAAUCUGCCCGGUGGAGGGGGAUAACUACUGGAAACGGUAGCUAAUACCGCAUACUAUCAGAUGUCCCCAUAGGGGAUUGGCUUGUAGGUGGGGUAACGGCUCACCAAGGCCACGAUCUCUAGCGGGUCUGAGAGGGUGAUCGGCCACACUGGGACUGAGACACGGCCCAGACUCCUACGGGAGGCAGCAGUGGGGAAUAUUGGACAAUGGGCGAAAGCCUGACGGAGCAAUGCCGCGUGAGUGAAGAAGGUCUUCGGGUCGUAAAGCACUUUCAGCGGGGAGGCGGUACCCACAGAAGAAGCAACGGCUAACUACGUGCCAGCAGCCGCGGUAAUAC